rnacentral:rRNA from 2 species
ACCCGCUGAACUUAAGCAUAUCAAUAAGCGGAGGAAAAGAAACCAACAGGGAUUGCCUCAGUAACGGCGAGUGAAGCGGCAACAGCUCAAAUUUGAAAUCUGGCCUCACGGUCCGAGUUGUAAUUUGUAGAGGAUGUUUCGAACGUGGUCCGGUCUAAGUUCCUUGGAACAGGACGUCAUAGAGGGUGAGAAUCCCGUAUGCGAUCGGGUGCCUAUGUUCAUGUGAAACUCCUUCGACGAGUCGAGUUGUUUGGGAAUGCAGCUCAAAAUGGGUGGUAAAUUUCAUCUAAAGCUAAAUACUGGCCAGAGACCGAUAGCGCACAAGUAGAGUGAUCGAAAGAUGAAAAGCACUUUGGAAAGAGAGUUAAACAGUACGUGAAAUUGUUGAAAGGGAAGCGCUUGCAACCAGACUUGCACGCAGUCGAUCAUCCGGUGUUCUCACCGGUGCACUCGGCCGCGUUCAGGCCAGCAUCGGUUCUGGUGGUUGGAUAAAGGCCUUGGGAAUGUAGCUCCUCUCGGGGAGUGUUAUAGCCCUCGGUGCAAUGCAGCCUACCGGGACCGAGGACCGCGCUUCGGCUAGGAUGCUGGCGUAAUGGUUGUAAGCGACCCGUCUUGAAACACGGACCAAGGAGUCUAACAUCUAUGCGAGUGUUUGGGUGUCAAACCCAUACGCGUAAUGAAAGUGAACGGAGGUGAGAACCCUUAAGGGUGCAUCAUCGACCGAUCCUGAUGUCUUCGGAUGGAUUUGAGUAAGAGCAUAGCUGUUGGGACCCGAAAGAUGGUGAACUAUGCCUGAAUAGGGUGAAGCCAGAGGAAACUCUGGUGGAGGCUCGCAGCGGUUCUGACGUGCAAAUCGAUCGUCAAAUUUGGGUAUAGGGGCGAAAGACUAAUCGAACCAUCUAGUAGCUGGUUCCUGCCGAAGUUUCC